rnacentral:rRNA from 1 species
UAGGGAAUCUUCGGCAAUGGACGAAAGUCUGACCGAGCAACGCCGCGUGAGUGAAGAAGGCUUUCGGAUCGUAAAACUCUGUUGUUAGAGAAGAACAAGGACGUUAGUAACUGAACGUCCCCUGACGGUAUCUAACCAGAAAGCCACGGCUAACUACGUGCCAGCAGCCGCGGUAAUACGUAGGUGGCAAGCGUUGUCCGGAUUUAUUGGGCGUAAAGCGAGCGCAGGCGGUUUCUUAAGCCUGAUGUGAAAGCCCCCGGCUCAACCGGGGAGGGUCAUUGGAAACUGGGAGACUUGAGUGCAGAAGAGGAGAGUGGAAUUCCAUGUGUAGCAGUGAAAUGCGUAGAUAUAUGGAGGAACACCAGUGGCGAAGGCGGCUCUCUGGUCUGUAACUGACGCUGAGGCUCGAAAGCGUGGGGAGCAAACAGG